rnacentral:rRNA from 1 species
CAGUAGCCGCGGUAAUACGAAGGGGGCUAGCGUUGUUCGGAAUUACUGGGCGUAAAGCGCACGUAGGCGGACAUUUAAGUCAGGGGUGAAAUCCCGGGGCUCAACCCCGGAACUGCCUUUGAUACUGGGUGUCUAGAGUAUGGAAGAGGUGAGUGGAAUUCCGAGUGUAGAGGUGAAAUUCGUAGAUAUUCGGAGGAACACCAGUGGCGAAGGCGGCUCACUGGUCCAUUACUGACGCUGAGGUGCGAAAGCGUGGGGAGCAAACAGGAUUAGAUACCCCUGUAGUCCCUGUCUCUUAUAC